AGACGGAGGGGGCUAGCGUUGUUCGGAAUUACUGGGCGUAAAGCGCACGUAGGCGGUAUAUCAAGUUAGGCGUGAAAGCCCCGGGCUCAACCCGGGAACUGCGCUAAUUACUGAUGAACUAGAGUCCGGGAGAGGGUAGCGGAAUUCCCAGUGUAGAGGUGAAAUUCGUAGAUAUUGGGAAGAACACCAGUUGCGAAGGCGGCUACCUGGACCGGUACUGACGCUGAGGUGCGAAAGCGUGGGGAGCAAACAGGAUUAGAAACCCCGGUAGUCC
rnacentral:rRNA from 1 species